rnacentral:rRNA from 1 species
CCUACGGGGUGCAGCAGUAGGGAAUAUUGCUCAAUGGGGGAAACCCUGAAGCAGCAACGCCGCGUGGAGGAUGAAGGUUUUCGGAUUGUAAACUCCUUUUGUUAGAGAAGAUAAUGACGGUAUCUAACGAAUAAGCACCGGCUAACCCCGUGCCAGCAGCCGCGGUAAUACGGAGGGUGCAAGCGUUACUCGGAAUCACUGGGCGUAAAGGGCGCGUAGGCGGGAUAGCAAGUCAGAUGUGAAAUCCUAUGGCUUAACCAUAGAACUGCAUUUGAAACUGUUAUUCUAGAGUAUGGGAGAGGUAGGUGGAAUUCUUGGUGUAGGGGUAAAAUCCGUAGAGAUCAAGAGGAAUACUCAUUGCGAAGGCGACCUGCUAGAACAUAACUGACGCUGAUGCGCGAAAGCGUGGGGAGCAAACAGGAUUAGAUACCCGGGUAGUC